UUAAAACAAUUGAUAAGGGAUGCCCUGAAGGAGUUCAUUAGUCUCUCUAGUUUUUUUAUUAUUAGGAACAAGAGUGGGGUAUUUUGUGCUGCGAUAACUCCUGAUCUCCAGCAACAAAUCCUUUUUGUUCUGCAAUUCAAAGCAAGAAACCUCCCAAUCAUAUUUUUUGAAAAAACUCUUUAUCACUAGAAAGCUUAGCUCAAAGGAUUGCAAUCCUCUAACCGAGAAGAUCACUGCUAGACUUAACUCUUGGAUUGCAAUCCUUUUUCAUAGGCAAACUACACAAUCAACUAGAAUUACACCAAUUAGAGUUUUUACAGCAAAUUAUAUGCAUGUGUCUCUCCAUAAAUCACCCAAAUCCAUAUUGAGAGGUGAUACUGGCUAUUGUUUGAUACCUGCGAUAAUUUUGUGCCUUUGGGACUAUCAACGCCUAUUCCAGUAAGAGUUUUUAUAGCAAAUUGGAUGCAUGGAUCUGACCAUAGAUCCAUGGAAGGCAGCUCAAUAGGAAUAUAGCUUCUCAUUGUCUUGGUUCACUUUUUCAACCAUUCCAGCAUGUUCCAAAGCUAGCCUUAAGCUGACCAUGCUGCUAUGAUUGCUAAUGAGCCAUACCACCAAGAGAAGAGGAGGUGUACUAGCUCUCUGCCUCUCCAUCGUUUCUCAGUUCUCACCAUCACAUCUCUCAAAUCAAGGUACUUAACAGGAUUUUGUAGAAUUUUUGGUGUUUUGGCUGCUUUUAGUUCAAGUGAAUUCCAUGAGGUACUUAAUAGGAUUUUGUAGAAUUUUUGGUGUUUUGGCUGCUUUUAAUCCAAGUGAAUUCCAUGAGGUGAAUUCCAAGAGGUGAAUUUCAUGUAAGAUGUAGUUGAUAUUUUCAAUAGAAAUUGGAUGUGCAGUUGAACUCAAGCACUCGCAUACAUUUAAAUCAAACAAUAAUGAACUAUCAUAGCCAGUGAGUGAGAUGUAAUGAACUGUCUGACCAGUGGCAUUAUUGUUAAGUUUUUCUUCUUUUUUUGUGAAAAUUCAUAGCUUCAAAUAUUUGAAUAAUAAAUAUUAUUAGCUUUCAUAGUUUACUUAUCAAAAAAAGAAAAGAAGCUUCGUGAUGAGAUGAAGGAGUUUAGUGGUUCAACUGAUACUUUAUGAGAAUAUAUUUUGUUCUACCACAAACAACCAAUUUUUUAAUCCUUUUUUUUUUUGGUGAAAGCACAGUUAAUUGGAAGAAAUUAGAUCUUUCAUGUUUAAUUCAAGCAGUGUCAUAUGGAUACUUUGAAUUGCCUAGAAUCAAGAAGCAUGAAAAGGAUGGAAAUGCAGAGAAAUUUCCAUUACUUUAUCUUAUUUGUUUGGUGCUAAAUUAGAAUUUGCUUCAUGUUGGAAAAUUUACAACCUGAAGAAGUUUUUGAGUAUCUUAAUUGUACAAGAAAGGAUUUGACCUUUGAUCUUAUGGAGUUCAAUAUAGAUUGGAUUUGUUUGGCUACAACACCUAAGGAGGAAAAGGAUAGUAAAGCAAUGUUAAAAUUUUAUAUUCAUCCCUUCUUUUUAUUUUUCCAUUAUUGCUUGCUCAAUCUCCCUCAUUGAUUGGUUCUUAUAUUCCUUUAUCUUGCUCUAGGAAAAGAAAAUAGUGAAGCUUUUGGGUUUUAUGUGGAUUCCUUAAAAAUUAUGACUCUAUGGCUUACUUUUUCUUGAUGAUUUCGACAUAACUAAUGUUGAAUAUUGUAGUCCUAAAUUUUUUUAUGCACAAGUCAUUAAUCAAAUUAAGUUGAAAAGACAUUUUUGAAAUUUCCUAAUUAGCCCAAAUCAAUUCUUUAGUCAAAUUUUUUUGAAUAUACCUUAUCUGUGCUGAAUAAAAAUUCAGAUUAUCAUAACUUCUUUAGCAUUCGGAUCUUUCUAAUAAUGACAACAAUAUUAAUAGUGCAGCUGAUGCUUAGCCCAAAAGUCAAUGGAAUUAUAUUUUUAUGUACCAUCACGGUCUUCUCCGUAGAUGAAAAGGUAGUUUUAUUUAUAUCGUUGAUGGUUAUGUGGUUUGUUUCUGGUGCUAAAAGUUCUUAAUUCAAUUCCAUAAUUUUGGGCAUGGUUAGUUUUACUUUAUGAUUUUUAGUACUUGGGUUGAAUGCCAUAUAAUCUACUUAUUUGUGCAUCACAUAGAUAAUAAAGGAAAAGUAAAUAUUGGGGCUCCGUCAUGUGCUUAUAGCAUUUGCAUGCAUAUUUCAAAGAUGAAUUUUUGUCUUAGACCCAAAUUUGAUGUCAGUAAGAUCUUAGAAGCACAAAAUUAAUUUGCAUUCAUAUUUUGGAGAUGGAUUUUUGUGUCUUAUAUCCUAACUUAAUAUCACUAAGAUUUUAAAAGCAUAUCAUUCAGUUUGAAUUUCUAUAUAUGUAUUUAUGUGUAUGUGUGUGUGAGUCACAGUGCUAUAGACAAAGAAAGUGUGUGUAGGAAUUUCCAUUUUGGAUGGAGGAUCAAUUGGAGCAUUUAAUUUGGAUGAUGAGCAAUCAAAGGGGAAAGUGAAUGGUUCAAAUGGAAGCACCAAAACCCUGGGGAGAACAUAGAGAAAUUACCUCAAUGACUUGCAAUGUACUGCACACAAGGAUUAAGAUGUGAGAAAGUUUCAAGUUAGCUACUCAGUAAAUGAUUGAAAUAUGUGAUUAUCUUUGAAAGAUGAUUUUAUGUUUUCUAAUUGUUUGAUUUGUGUUAAUUUACAAGAUAAAAAUGUACUACUAUCAUCUUAUGGGUA